UACAGAGGGUGCUAGCGUUGUUCGGAAUCAUUGGGCGUAAAGGGCGUGUAGGCGGUUUGUUAAGUCAUGUGUGAAAGCCCUGGGCUCAACCUGGGAACUGCAUUCGAUACUGUCAAGCUAGAGUGUGGGAGAGGGUAGUGGAAUUCCCGGUGUAGCGGUGAAAUGCGUAGAUAUCGGGAGGAACAUCAGUGGCGAAGGCGACUGCCUGGCCCAACACUGACGCUGAGGUGCGAAAGCGUGGGUAGCAAACAGG
rnacentral:rRNA from 1 species